rnacentral:rRNA from 1 species
UACGUAGGGUGCGAGCGUUGUCCGGAAUUACUGGGCGUAAAGAGCUCGUAGGUGGUUUGUCGCGUUGUCCGUGAAAACUCACAACUCAAUUGUGGGCGUGCGGGCGAUACGGGCAGACUGGAGUACUGCAGGGGAGACUGGAAUUCCUGGUGUAGCGGUGGAAUGCGCAGAUAUCAGGAGGAACACCGGUGGCGAAGGCGGCUCUCUGGAACGGUACUGACGCUGAGACGCGAAAGCGUGGGGAGCGAAGCAGGAUUGAGAU